GAUCUCUUUGAGGCCCGUUAUCGGAAUGAGAACAAUUCAAAUCCUUUAACGAGGAUCUAGCGGAGGGCAAGUCUGGUGCCAGCAGCCGCGGUAAUUCCAGCUCCGCAGGUGUAUAUCUAUGCUGCUGCGGUUAAAAAGCUCGUAGUUGGAUCUGCGUGCUCGGAACUGGUUGGCUCACUGAGUUCAAACUGGCCUCCGGCGCUUUAUUGGCUGGUUUUCCCUUGAUGCUCUUAACCGGGUGUCUUGGGUGGCUAGCACGUUUACUUUAAAAAAAUUAGAGUGCUCAAUACAGGCGUAAAGCCUUGAAUAGUGGUGCAUGGAAUAAUAGAAUAGGACCUCGGCUCUAUUUUGUUGGUUUUCGGAACGCGAGGUAAUGAUUAAGAGGGACAGACGGGGGCAUUCGUAUUGCGACGUUAGAGGUGAAAUUCUUGGAUCGUCGCAAGACGGACGACUGCGAAAGCAUUUGCCAAGAAUGUUUUCAUUAAUCAAGAACGAAAGUUAGAGGUUCGGAGGCGAUCAGAUACCGCCCUAGUUCUAACCGUAAACGAUGCCAACUAGCGAUUCGCAGGCGUUAAACAACGACCUUGCGGGCAGCUUCCCGGAAACGAAAGUGUUCGGGUUCCGGGGGAAGUAUGGUUGCAAAGCUGAAACUUAAAGGAAUUGACGGAAGGGCACCACCAGGAGUGGAGCCUGCGGCUUAAUUUGACCCAACACGGGAAAACUCACCCGGCCCGGACACCGUAAGGAUUGACAGAUUGAGAGCUCUUUCUUGAUUCGGUGGGUGGUGGUGCAUGGCCGUUCUUAGUUGGUGGAGCGAUUUGUCUGGUUUAUUCCGAUAACGAACGAGACUCUGGCCUACUAAAUAGUGGGCGGAUUCUUUCUGUCCGCAACACUUCUUAGAGGGACAAGCGGUGUUCAGCCGCACGAGAUUGAGCAAUAACAGGUCUGUGAUGCCCUUAGAUGUCCGGGGCUGCACGCGCGCUACACUGAAGGAAUCAGCGUGCUUUCUGACCUUGCCCGAAAGGGCUGGGUAACCCGAUGAAAAUCCUUCGUGAUUGGGAUAGGGACUUGCAAUUAUUUCCCUUGAACGAGGAAUUCCCAGUAAGUGUGGGUCAUAAGCUCGCGUUGAUUACGUCCCUGCCCUUUGUACACACCGCCCGUCGCUGCCCGGAACUGAGCCGUUUCGAGAAGAACAGGGACCGUCGUUGAAGGGCCUUAACGGGCUUUUCUCUGAUAGAAACUGUU
rnacentral:rRNA from 1 species